CAGGAAAUAGUUUAAUUAAAAUAUUAAUUUUGGGGAUUAAAGAUAGGGCUUAAAGCUUUUUUCCUGA
rnacentral:tRNA from 1 species